rnacentral:rRNA from 1 species
AUGAACGCUGGCGGCGUGCCUCAUCCCUGCAAGUCGAGCGAACAGACGAGGAGCUUGCUCCUCUGACGUUAGCGGCGGACGGGUGAGUAACACGUGGAUAACCUACCUAUAAGACUGGGAUAACUUCGGGAAACCGGAGCUAAUACCGGAUAAUAUAUUGAACCGCAUGGUUCAAUAGUGAAAGACGGUUUUGCUGUCACUUAUAGAUGGAUCCGCGCCGCAUUAGCUAGUUGGUAAGGUAACGGCUUACCAAGGCAACGAUGCGUAGCCGACCUGUGAGGUUGAUCGGCCACUCUGGAGCUGAGACACUUUCCAGACUCCUACGGGAGGCAGCAGUAGCGAAUCUUCCGAAAUGGGCGAAAGCUUGACGGAGCAACGCGGCGCUGGUGAUGAAGCUCUUCGGAUCGUAAAACGCUGUUAUUAGGGAAGAACAAAUGUGUAAGUAACGCUGCACUUCUUGACGGUACCUAACCAGAAAGCCACGGCUAACUACGU